GACGAACGCUGGCGGCGUGCUUAACACAUGCAAGUCGAACGGUAAGGCCCUUCGGGGUACACGAGUGGCGAACGGGUGAGUAACACGUGGGUGAUCUGCCCUGCACUUCGGGAUAAGCCUGGGAAACUGGGUCUAAUACCGGAUAGGACCACUGCCUGCAUGGGUGGUGGUGGAAAGCUUUUGCGGUGUGGGAUGGGCCCGCGGCCCAUCAGCUUGUUGGUGGGGUGAUGGCCUACCAAGGCGACGACGGGUAGCCGGCCUGAGAGGGCGACCGGCCACACUGGGACUGGGAUACGGCACAGACUCCUACGGGAGGCAGCAGUGGGGAAUAUUGCACAAGGGGCGCAAGCCUGAUGCAGCGACGCCGCGUGAGGAAUGACGGCCGUCGGGUUGUAAACCUCUUUCAGCACCGACGAAGCGCAAGUGACGGUAGGUGCAGAAGAAGGACCGGCCAACUACGUGCCAGCCGCCGCCGUAA
rnacentral:rRNA from 1 species